UACAGAGGAGCCAAGCGUUGUCCGGAUUGACUGGGCGUAAAGCGCACGCAGGCGGUCACGCGCGUGGGGUGUGAAAUCUGGCCGCUUAACGGCCAGGCGCCAUCCCAUACGGCGCGACUGGAGUGAUGCAGAGGUCGAUGGAAUUGCCGGUGUAGUGGUGAAAUGCGUAGAGAUCGGCAGGAACACCCAGGGGGAAACCAGUCGACUGGGCAUCUACUGACGCUGAGGUGCGAGAGCGUGGGGAGCGAACCGG
rnacentral:rRNA from 1 species